rnacentral:tRNA from 1 species
GCACACGUCGUCCAAUGGCAGGGCAUCCGCCUGAUAUGCGGAAGACGGAGGUCCGAUCCCUCCCGUGUGCACCA